rnacentral:rRNA from 1 species
UACGGGGGGGGCAAGCGUUGUUCGGAAUUACUGGGCGUAAAGGGUUCGUAGGUGGCUUGCUAAGUCAGACGUGAAAUCCCUCAGCUUAACUGGGGAACUGCGUCUGAUACUGGCGAGCUUGAGUGCAGGAGAGGAACGCAGAAUUCCAGGUGUAGCGGUGAAAUGCGUAGAUAUCUGGAGGAACACCGGUGGCGAAGGCGGCAUCCUGGACCAAUAUUGACGCUGAGGAGCGAAAGCCAGGGGAGCAAACGGG